AACGAACGCUGGCGGCAUGCCUAACACAUGCAAGUCGAACGAGACCUUCGGGUCUAGUGGCGCACGGGUGCGUAACGCGUGGGAAUCUGCCCUUGGGUUCGGAAUAACAGUUGGAAACGACUGCUAAUACCGGAUGAUGACGUAAGUCCAAAGAUUUAUCGCCCAAGGAUGAGCCCGCGUAGGAUUGGCCAGUUGGUGAGGUAAUGGCUCGCCAAGGCGACGAUCCUUAGCUGGUCUGCGAGGAUGCUCAGCCACGCUGGGACUGAGACCCGGCCCAGACUGCUACGGGAGGGAGCAGUGGGGAGUAUUGGGCGCUGGGCGAAAGCGUGAUCCAGCAAUGCCGCGGGUGUGAUGAAGGCCUUAGGGUUGUAAAGCUGUUUUACCCGGGAUGAUAAUGACAGUACCGGGAGAAUAAGCUCCGGCUAACUCCGUG
rnacentral:rRNA from 1 species